GAUGAACGCUAGCGGGAGGCUUAAUACAUGCAAGUCGAACGGUAAGGUCCCGACCUAGUUGGGAUACACGAGUGGCGAACGGGUGAGUAACGCGUACAGAAUCUACCCUUGAUUGGGGAAUAGCCCCGGGAAACUGGGAAUAAUACCCCAUAGUAUUACUUAUUAUAAAGGUGAGUAAUUAAAGUUCCGGCGAUCAAGGAUGACUGUGCGUCCCAUUAGCUUGUUGGUAAGGUAACGGCUUACCAAGGCGACGAUGGGUAGGGGGCGUGAGAGCGUGGCCCCCCACACGGGUACUGAGACACGGACCCGACUCCUACGGGAGGCAGCAGUAAGGAAUAUUGGACAAUGGAGGAAACUCUGAUCCAGCCAUCCCGCGUGCAGGAUGACGGCCCUAUGGGUUGUAAACUGCUUUUAGAUAGGAAGAAACGCCUGGAUUUAUCCGGGCCUGACGGUACUAUCAGAAUAAGCACCGGCUAACUCCG
rnacentral:rRNA from 1 species